UCUCAAUCUCUUCUCUCUCUCUCUCUCCUUGAUGUUCUCAGAUCAGCACCUCUGCUAUGCUAAUAUCCUUCAUCCUUCUCAGGUAAACACACAUGUAUAUGUAACUCUAUAUACUAUGUAUAUGUGAAUAUCAAUCUUUGAAAUUGAAAUUAUUCUGUUGAGAUCUGAGCAAGAAUCGAAGUAGUCGUCCUCAACUUCCUUAAGAUCUUGAACUCUUCGACUCCGGCAAUCUCAUGUCACUUUGGCUUGCAAUUUUACUUCAAAUCUCUAAUCUCGAAAUGUGUGUUAAGCAUUGAGUCACUGUUGAUUUUAAGUAGAUGAAUUUGGGGAUUUUUCAGUGUAUUACAAAUCGAUAGAAGAUGGAGUAAUAGUAGAGCGAGUUGAGGUUUGAUGAAGAUUAGAGAUCGAGAAGUUGGAUACUCAGUGGUUCACUACGAAGAAGUCGUCUCCUGAUUCGAAGCAAAAGUGAGAUUGGGGUUUUUCUUGAUAGGAGGGUUUUUUUCUACAUUCUUCCAAUUUUCUCAUUUGUUUUACUUUACUCCAAUCUUCCACAUAAGGAGCUCCGCUUUGUUAUUAGUUUUGUUCCAAUGUUUAUCAGCGGCAAUCGCAGCUAGCAGAAUGUACAUCUCUUUUCUUUUAUUUAAUUAAUACCUCAAUUAAUUUAUACGAAUACAGAGUUAUUUUUAUCUUCUUGUAGUUGUUUUAAAUGAUAUACUGAAGAGUAGUUUUAUAUUUGACCAACAGAGGACGAUUGAAAGCAUUAGUUUUCUGACUUAGAACUUCCCAUUUCGGACUUAUCAGAAUCAUCAGAACUGGCUGCAUCAUACUGAAUGGGAUCUAAUUCGAGACAUUCAUGCAAAUCACCUUCUGCUGUCAUAGAUUUGAAGGCAUUAGUUUUCUUUUGCAGCUCAAGAUUUCUCUCCUUUAUUGCAGCUUCCAAAAUUUGAAUCAUUUUUGCCUUGUAUAGUGGUCUAUUAACCAUCAAUUGAUGCCCUUUACUACGAA